rnacentral:lncRNA from 1 species
UCUCAGUGCAGUUGCUGCAAACUCUGCUGCUGCUCCUCAGGCUGUGAAUCAACCUGCUCCCAGUCCAGCUGCUGCAAGCCCUGCUGCUCCCGGUCCAGCUGCUGCAAGUCCUGAUGUUCCCGGUCCAGCUGCUGCAAGUCCUGCUGUUCCCGGUCCAGCUGCUGCAAGCCCUGCUGCUCCCAGUCCAGCUGCUGCAGGUCCUGCUGCUCCAAGUCCAGCUGCUGUGUCCCUAUUUGCUGUCAGUACAAGAUCUGA